GGAGUGUGUUUCUCCAGAAGUAGAUAGAUUAACGAAUGUGCGUUUACCACGGAGUGAUUCAUGACUGGGGUGAAGUCGUAACAAGGUAGCCGUAGGGGAAACUGCGGCUGGAUCACCUCCUUA
rnacentral:rRNA from 1 species